rnacentral:tRNA from 1 species
AGGCCAGUAGCUCCAACUGGCAGAGCAACGGUCUCCAAAACCGUGUGAUGUAGGUUCGAAUCCUACCUGGCCUG